ensembl:miRNA pma-mir-103a pma-mir-103a
CCGCUCCUUUCAGCCUCUCUAUGGUGCUGCCUUGUGUCAAACCUGCGUGUCAAGCAGCAUCGUACAGGGCUUGGAAAGUGUCG